rnacentral:lncRNA from 1 species
AAGUACAUGAUUCCAUAGCGUAAAGUUAGGUCCCGUAAAAUGUUCCGCAAUUGUCCCGCUUCACGUCCAGGACAGAGUUAACAUAAUUAAUUUUUGCAUUUAUAAUUUAAUUUAUGAAAUAAUUAAUAUUCUUUAAAUGUGGAGCACGUUUUCACCUGGUUAUCGUCGAAGAUUAAAUUUAAAUUGAUUGCUGAGGAUACUAAAUUUAGAAGAGUGCAAUUCUCAAACUGUAUUAAAGAUGCUUUGUCAAGAAUAAAGUAGUAAGGGAAAGAGUGUUUCCAGUUUGCUUUCCUUCAAAAAGUUCUCAUACUGGUCAUUUUACUAGAGAUGAUACUUAUUACUUAAGUAUAAAGACGA